AACACGUGAGUAACCUGCCCUUGACUCUGGGAUAAGCCUGGGAAACUGGGUCUAAUACCGGAUAUGACCGUCUGACGCAUGUCAUGGUGGUGGAAAGCUUUUGUGGUUUUGGAUGGACUCGCGGCCUAUCAGCUUGUUGGUGGGGUAAUGGCCUACCAAGGCGACGACGGGUAGCCGGCCUGAGAGGGUGACCGGCCACACUGGGACUGAGACACGGCCCAGACUCCUACGGGAGGCAGCAGUGGGGAAUAUUGCACAAUGGGCGGAAGCCUGAUGCAGCGACGCCGCGUGAGGGAUGACGGCCUUCGGGUUGUAAACCUCUUUCAGUAGGGAAGAAGCGAAAGUGACGGUACCUGCAGAAGAAGCGCCGGCUAACUACGUGCCAGCAGCCGCGGUAAUACGUAGGGCGCAAGCGUUAUCCGGAAUUAUUGGGCGUAAAGAGCUCGUAGGCGGUUUGUCGCGUCUGCUGUGAAAGACCGGGGCUCAACUCCGGUUCUGCAGUGGGUACGGGCAGACUAGAGUGCAGUAGGGGAGACUGGAAUUCCUGGUGUAGCGGUGAAAUGCGCAGAUAUCAGGAGGAACACCGAUGGCGAAGGCAGGUCUCUGGGCUGUAACUGACGCUGAGGAGCGAAAGCAUGGGGAGCGAACAGGAUUAGAUACCCUGGUAGUCCAUGCCGUAAACGUUGGGCACUAGGUGUGGG
rnacentral:rRNA from 1 species